rnacentral:lncRNA from 1 species
CAAAGCAAAGGGCUCAGCGUCUUCGUAGGAUCGAUGCGAAACUCGGCCAAGUCUCGAAUUCGCCAGAACGGUUAUGAGUUGUAGUUUCCACGGCGGCGGCUUCCUCAAGCUCUCGGCGAGAUCCAAACUCAAGAACACACGAAGCUAGGGCCCUAAUAAGCUGCGUAGAUGAACAAGUAAGGAGCAGGGAAGGAGCUGGGGCUUUAUAGGGCUUCGCUUGGCGCAAAAAGGCAACGAAUCACGGCUUUCCCGGGGAUCGAUUCCGCCCGGAAUCGUGUCCUGCUUGGACUCGAGGAGGAAGAAAGGAAACGCUCACUGCCAGGCGGGACCCGAGCGUCAGAGAGAAGGAGAGACGGGCCCAGCUGGCAGAGAGAAGGAGAGGGGGAUGGCGCGGCCUGGCUGAGGGAACUGUGCUGGGUGGAAGCUGGGCCGCGGCUGGCCUGCUUGGCUGGGCCGAGAGCGGGGCCGGAAUGAGAGGGGAGAGGAAAUGGGAAGAAAGGAGAGAAACCAGGCCUUCGGGCCAGAUUCCAGGUAAGGGGCUUCUUCUCUCUUUUUUUUAUAUUUUUUUUUAUUUCCAAACCAUUAUCAAAUCAGUUUGAAACAAUUUUGAACUUUGCUCAAAGUCACACAAUAAAAUGAAAAUAAAUGCUCCAACAUGAAUGCUCAAACAAGUUGCUAAACUUAUGAUAAAUUUUAAUGAAAAAUAUUAUUCCCCUAUGUUUCAUGAGCACAAAAAUUCAUAAAUAAAUCAUUUUAGCUCUAUUUUCCAGAAAACAAUUUUUUGGGUGUUAUAGCUAGCUGCUACAUUGCCUCUUGCCACUAACAUUGAGCAGGUAAAGAACAUAACUACUAGAGGAGGAAAAGCCACCAGGGAUCCCCCAUACCCAAAAGAGAAACAAAAAACAUCAGCACCAGUGCAACCAGCAGUGAUAGAAGAAGAAAGCCCAGUUGAAGCAGA